GCUUUGUCGCCCAGGCUGGAGUGCAGUGGCGUGAUCCCGGCUCACUGCAACCUCUGCUUCCCAGGUUUAAGCGAUUCUCCUGCCUCAGCCUCCAGAGUAGCUGGGAUUACAGGCACAUGCCACUGCACCCGGCUAAUUUUUGUUUUUGUUUUUGUUUUUGUUUUAGUAGAAACGGAGUUUCACCAUGUUGGUGAGGCUGGUCUUGAACUCCUGACCUCAAGUGAUCCAUUCGCCUCAGCCUCCCAAAGUGCUGGGAUUACAGGCGUGAGACACCACGCCCAGCCUACACCAUCAGGAAUAGAAAGAACUUCCUUAACGUGUUAAAGUAUUGUAUGGAAACUCACAGCUAACAGGAUACUGAAUGGUGAAAGACCAAAAGCUUGCUUUCUUAAGAUCAGAAACAAGGAUGCCCACUUCCACUGCUU
rnacentral:lncRNA from 1 species